GAAAUGCGAUAAGUAAUGUGAAUUGCAGAAUUCAGUGAAUCAUCGAAUCUUUGAACGCACCUUGCGCUCCUUGGUAUUCCGAGGAGCAUGCCUGUUUGAGUGUCAUGAAUCUCUCAAACCCUUAGCUUGCUUUAUUGUGAGCUUUGGGCUUUGGACUUGGGGGUCUGCCGGCGUUUGUCGGCUCCUCUCUAAAUGCAUUAGCGGGAUCUUACAAUAAGCGUCCUCGGUGUGAUAAUUGUCUACGCCGUGUGUAUACUUGUUGCGUGUGUUACCACUGCUUGCAGUUGUGUAGCCAUGGGCUCUUGAGCCUAAGCAAUCGUGCUUACAGCCGUCCGCAAGGACAACUUUCUGACAUCUGACCUCAAAUCAGGUAGGACUACCCGCUGAACUUAA
rnacentral:misc_RNA from 1 species